ACGUAGGGGGCAAGCGUUAUCCGGAUUUACUGGGUGUAAAGGGAGCGUAGACGGAAGUGCAAGUCUGAAGUGAAAGCCCGGGGCUCAACCCCGUGACUGCUUUGGAAACUGUGCUUCUAGAGUGUCGGAGAGGUAAGCGGAAUUCCUAGUGUAGCGGUGAAAUGCGUAGAUAUUAGGAGGAACAUCAGUGGCGAAGGCGGCUUACUGGACGAUAACUGACGUUGAGGCUCGAAAGCGUGGGGAGCAAACAG
rnacentral:rRNA from 1 species